rnacentral:rRNA from 1 species
GAUGAACGCUGGCGGCGUGCCUAAUACAUGCAAGUCGAGCGAAUGGAUUAAGAGCUUGCUCUUAUGAAGUUAGCGGCGGACGGGUGAGUAACACGUGGGUAACCUGCCCAUAAGACUGGGAUAACUCCGGGAAACCGGGGCUAAUACCGGAUAACAUUUUGAACCGCAUGGUUCGAAAUUGAAAGGCGGCUUCGGCUGUCACUUAUGGAUGGACCCGCGUCGCAUUAGCUAGUUGGUGAGGUAACGGCUCACCAAGGCAACGAUGCGUAGCCGGCCUGGAGGGGUGUUCGGCAACACGGGGACUAAGACACGGCCCAGACACCUACGAGAGGCAGCAGUAGGGAAUCUUCCGCAAUGGACGAAAGUCUGACGGAGCAACGCCGCGUGAGUGAUGAAGGCUUUCGGGUCGUAAAACUCUGUUGUUAGGGAAGAACAAGUGCUAGUUGAAUAAGCUGGCACCUUGACGGUACCUAACCAGAAAGCCACGGCUAACUACGUGCCAGCAGCCGCCGUAA